GUGCUUGCUUUGGCAGCACAUAUACUAAAAUCAGAACGAUACAAAGAAUAGCAUGGCCCUGUGCAAAGAUGACACACACAUUCGUGAAGUGUUCUAUACAAAC